UACGUAGGAGGCGAGCGUUGUCCGGAAUCACUGGGCGUAAAGCGCGUGUAGGCGGAUGACUAAGUCUGCUGUGAAAGCGCCUGGCUUAACCGGGCGAGGUCGGCGAAAACUAGUCGUCUGGAGGCCGGUAGAGGGGGGUGGAAUUCCGGGUGUAGUGGUGAAAUGCGUAGAGAUCCGGAGGAACACCCGUGGCGCAGGCGGCCCCCUGGGCCGCGCCUGACGCUGAGACGCGAAAGCGCGGGGAGCAAACAGG
rnacentral:rRNA from 1 species